CCUACGGGUGGCAGCAGUCGAGAAUCAUUCACAAUGGGGGAAACCCUGAUGGGGCGACGCCGCGUGGGGGAAUGAAGGUCUGCGGAUUGUAAACCCCUGUCAUGUGGGAGCAAAUUAAAAAGAUAGUACCACAAGAGGAAGAGACGGCGAACGCUGUGCCAGCAGCCGCGGUAAUACAGAGGUCUCAAGCGUUGGGCGGAAUGACUGGGCGUAAAGCGUGCGGAGGCGGUUGCGUAAGUCGUGUGUGAAAGGCGCGGGCUCAACCCGCGGACGGCACAUGAUACUGCGAGACUAGAGUACUGGCGGGGGAACCGGACUUCUCGUUGUAGCCGUGAACUGCGUAGAUCUC
rnacentral:rRNA from 1 species